UUCAUUGAUCGACCAAUGAGCGGGCAGGAUGCUAAUCAGUACGCCAUACUUGCCGUGUCAGAUUUCCCGGAGCUAUUUGCAUUUCUAAAGAAGAAUAUAGAGAUAUAAAGAAGAAAGCGGCAUGGGACCUCGUCGGUGCCAGAGUAAACAUAUCAGCAGUUUGGAAGUCGUGUGUCUGGAAAAGAAAAGAGGAAGAAGACGCACUGUCCUCGUCAGGAUGGAAAAGACGUCCAACAUCAAACAUGGUCUUCUAGAACGCCCCGAUAAAGAAAUCUACGAGUUUUGUUAUCAAAGGUGGAGCCACCAAAGAUGAUUGACAGCAGAAGAAAAUAGAACGUCUUCAUCUUCAUCUUGUCCAAACUGACUGACGCUCAAGCAGCUCAACUUCCUGCCAGAUGCUGGCUCCACCCACUUUCCUGCCCCUGCGCCUACACUGACCAAGCUCCAUCACCCCCCCACAGCCCCUGACCUCCAUCAGCAGACCUGCUAACCUUGAAGACAUUUUAUGAGUGCUUCCCGCCGACCCGGCACGCACGAUUUGGUUGAUAACUAACCAGACUAAACACGGCCAGUGGUGGUGUUAUUGUGUUAUUAGAUACUGUAUGUCUUUUUAUUAUAAUAUUUGGUCAAAACAGCUGGGCAAGUGGACAAGAUGUAGCUUGAGUGAACAAUGGUAAUUAAAGAGAGAAGGGAG